UUGUCUUCUAGACUGAUAAAAAAAGAAGUAUCUGUCUUCUAAUGUUGCAGCAUCAAAUGCAGGAAAUAAUUGAUUUAGCAUUGUUAUGAGUAACAUGCUUUUGUUUUUCCCUUGUAUAGUGCUUAUAAGAGGCAUUUGAUUUCUUCCAAUACGUCCCAACUAUAAAUAUAGACCAUUUUGAACUUCUGAUGUUAAGCACGCUUAAUCUAGUUAUAUCUAUUUUUAACCAAAUAUAGUCAGGGUAACGUCCUUUCUCCACCGACUUCCCAAAAAGUGGAAGGCGGCUGUUUCUUGUAUUUUAGCAAGUACAAGAAAGUAAAUUUGCAAGAUAUCAGCUUGUCUUGUGUUUUCCCUUAGAGAAAAUAUUAUUAGAGUGGAAGAUGGCAGAUUUCAUCUGAAAAUCUAAUCUAAAAAAGAAAAAGGAAAGGAAAAAGGAUGAGGGGGGCUAACUUUUCCCCUGUAGACACGAGUAAUAUGAAAAUAACUAUGCUGCAGAGGAUAUCAGAAUUUACCACCUGUACUGCGAGAAUAGUCAUCUAACAGCUAUGUUUUUCCUGUCAUGAAGCCAGUUUUGGGUCUUCACUAUUGUUUUUAUUACGUCUGGCUCUUAUUCUUUUAGGCUUUUCAUGAACAACUAAAUCUCUUAGAAAGGGAGGAUCCUUGUUUCAGUUUCUUUAGAAAGGACUACAAUAUAAUAAUUGCAUCCUCCCUAACCUCUUCCGCAACAUGCAGACUUUAGGAUUGCUUCUGCCUACUCUAUCCUAUUUCAUUGCUAUAUGCAAACUGAGUUUGUUAAUUUUCUACCUGAAUACAGAAAAGUUGGGUUGAAUAGGUAAAUGACGAGGGGAAGCUGAGAAAGAGCUGGUAAAGGAGAUAGCUAGUGUAUCACACAAGUGGGGUCUGGGGAGGGUGGAGUGUACGCAAACCUUACCCUUACCUUGGGAGGUAGAGAGGCUAUUUCCAAUAGACCCUCGGCUCAAAGAAAAGCAAACAAAAGCAAUCCGGAAAAGGAAAUAACAGAAGAAAAGAAACAACAGAUAAUAACUAACAGAAAUCAAGUUUUCUGAAAAAAGGAACAGUAGCCUAAUUGCCACAAAAAUCAUACGAUCAUUAAAGUACAAGAAGCACCAAGUAAUAACAGAAAUCAAAGGACAAGAAACUACCAGAGUAAUACUACGACUACAAGGAUGGAAAGAUAAGCGUGACAAUGCUCAACUACCUACUAGCCUUCUACCCUAAUCCGUGUCCUCCAUAACCUCCUAUCUAUGGUCAUGUUCUUGGUGAGCUAUAAUUGUACCAUGUCCUGUCUAAUCACCUCUCCCCAAUACUUCUUCGGCAUACCUCUACCUCUCUUGAAACCAUCCAUAGCCAACCCUCACACCUCUGCAAUGGGGCAUCCGUGCAUCUCCUCUUCACAUGCCUGAUAAAGGAGAUAGCUCCGCAAUGGGACUUGGGAACAGCUGAACAGGUCGUAAUCUUCGGUCAUUUCUUUAUUGCCUUAAUGAAAAUGUUUCCUCUUGUCUCAUUUCCUUUAUUAUUGUGUCUCAACGGGCAAGUCAAUACAUGGUUUGAGACAAGGUCCAUUGGUAGAUUGCUGUUUUCCAUCGCUGAGGAGUAUUACCCAGCUUUAACUCCUUUGAAGUCAAGGUAUAGUGAUGCAUAACUGAUGGACUAUAUGUGAUGAGUGUCCUGCUAUGCCCCACACUAGGAUUGAGUGGCACAUCACAAAUGUAGGAGUUUUCUGUGGGUUUUGCACUGCAUUCUUGUCCCAAGAAGAGUAAAGACUAAAGUAUUUAAGAACUGAAUUUUUAACAAAUUAAGAGCUGUUGAGACUGAUAACUUGCUGAUAAUUACCUGAAAGGGUGCUGGUCAUUUGGUUUAUAUGGCGGGAAGUGGAAGAUUGAUAAUCAAUUAAGUGCUAAUGUGUGAUCUUGGGUCUGUUUCUGUGGUUUCAGAAGCUGUGAGCACAGGAACUAGAGACAUGGAAUAUUUUGUGAUAAUGUCAGGAAUUGUGUACUUGAAAUCAUGUGAAAUGUUGAUGGAAUGCUGUUCUGCAUUGCUAUAUUUCCAUCAGGUCAAAUGGUCAUCUUUAGGGAAGUCGACAGCAUACUUUCAAUCUUUAUUCUUCUGGGCUCUUUUAGCCAUUUCUAGUUACUCUCUUCUGGAUAAGAUAACAGCUGUUAAUUAGUUUUUAGGUUGCAUAAUUGCGAGUCCUAAUCCACUAUAUGAUUUGGAAUACAAGCAUGUGUUCUGAAUAACUUUGGAGACAU